UGUAAAACCUCUCUGAUGUGCCUUAGGUGAGGAAUGCAGUAAAGAAACAUGGAAAAAAGAGGCAUGUCUGUUAUGACCAAUAAUAUAUAAUAGUAUCAGAGAGCAAAGGCAAGGACUGGGAGAAUGAAGAACUGCCACUUUAGGAGAAAAUCAGGUUUGAGGUCAUCUAAGAAACUUGAAAGUGCACAAAUCUAUGGGACCUGGUGACAUGCAUCUGUGGGUCCUGAGGGAACUGGUGGGUGAAGUUCCUAAGGCACUGGCCAUCAUAUUUGAAGUUCCCACUGACUGGAAAAGGGGAAACCUAACCCCCAUUUUUAAAAAGGGAAAAAGGAAGAUCUGGGUAACUGCAAGCUGGUCAGACACACCUCAGUGUCCAGCAAGGUCAUGGAGCAGAUCCUCCUGGAGACUAUGCUAAGGCACAUGGACAAUACGGAGGGGAUGAGUGACAGCCAACACAGUGUCACUAAGUGCAAAUUGUGCCUGACAAAUGUGGUGAUCUUACACGACAGGGACUCCUGAAGGCUGCUUCUCUGUGUUCUUUGUCACCAGGGUGCUGGUAGCAGUGGACCCGUGUUUUCCUUAGUCAGUCUCCUGUUGCUGCUGAUGCCACUGCAGAAGGCUCUCUUGUUGCACUUCAUAGUUCUUGCCAGAUUUGACUCUAGGAUUUCGGAAACCACCUCCCCAUCUCACUUCCUCCCAGCUGAUUUUCAGGGGAAUAGAAGGAGACUUGUUUGCUAGCAGGGGGGAAGUCCAGGCCUUGGUGAGCAGCUUUCUAAGAGGCACCUAUGAGAAUGGUGCGCUUCAGUCAGUGCUAAGUUUGCAGAGGCUGCUGCCAAAUGAGGUCACCCUGGUGCAGAAACGUGGACGAAGAGCUUCCAGAAGAGGAGGAUGGAAGAAGCCAGGACAGGAAGUAGAGCCGUCAGUAGCACAGGGCUCAGCUCAGUCAACUCCCUGCUCUGGAAAUGCUGAUUUCAGUUUUGUCUUGGCUCACAGACUAAAAUGCAUUAAAUGGUUUCAUUGUCAUCUUCCUAUUUCUCGUCAUAAAAAUCAUUCUUUGGUUUGACACAGUUUAGUUGUCUCUCUGGAAGGUGUCUGCUGGGGCAAGCAGCAUACACAGGGCAGUUCAGCCACGAGGUCUGGGUGCCUUUUGGGAAUCACAAAGCUCAAAGAACCUCAAGGAGAGACUCCUUUUCAAACCAUGUAACAUCUGCUGAGCUAGCACAUCUCUUGACAAAGGCAGAACACCACGAUACCAGCUUGGAGUGGGUCUUGCCAGGGACAGCAAGGAUCAUCUGGUCCAGUCUCUCUUGGGAAAGAGACAAGACGGCCCAGCACCCUGUUCAGCCAAAGAUGGACAACCUGGACUGCUAGGGACCUCUUAUGCCUUUUUCUUAGUUAUUCUAGUGAUUAAUUCCUCCUUCAGUUGAACUGUUGCUCUUUACUUUAGUUUGUAUAAUGGCCAUUCCACCCCAGUGCUCCUGUUUGUUUGCUAGAUUGAAACAUUACACACAGUGGAAAAAAAAUUCUUUCUUACAGACCCUUAGAAAUCACUUGUAUUUUUAAUUUUUCUGAAGUUCUCCAUGUGGAAACUUGUUCUGCUGAUGUUGACUCCUUCUUAUGACUCUGACUGCUUUGAGUUUUCUACAGUCUUUAUAAAUAUUGAACAUCAAAUUAGCAUCACUAAAGCUGCAGUAAUAUAA